GACGAACUGUGCAAACGUUAUUCGGAAUCACUGGGCUUAAAGGGUGCGUAGGCGGUCCUCUAAGUAGGGUGUGAAAGCCCCCGGCUCAACCGGGGAACUGCGCCUUAAACUGAAGGGCUUGAGUGAGGUAGGGGUGUGUGGAACUUCCAGUGGAGCGGUGAAAUGUGUUGAUAUUGGAAGGAACGCCGGUGGCGAAAGCGACACACUGGACCUUGUCUGACGCUGAGGCACGAAAGCCAGGGGAGCAAACGGG
rnacentral:rRNA from 1 species